rnacentral:rRNA from 1 species
CCUACGGGUGGCUGCAGUGGGGGAUAUUGCACAAUGGAGGAAACUCUGAUGUAGCGACGCCGCGUGAGGGAAGACGGUCUUCGGAUUGUAAACCUCUGUCUUUGGGGAAGAAAAUGACGGUACCCAAAGAGGAAGCUCCGGCUAACUACGUGCCAGCAACCACGGUCAUACGUAGGGAGCGAGCGUUGUCCGGAAUUACUGGGGGGAACGGGAGCGUAGGCGGGCGAGAAAGUUGAAUGUUAAAUCUAACGGCUUAACUGGUAGCUGCGUUCAAACCUUCUUGUCUUGAGUGAAGUAGAGGAAGGCGGAAUUCCUGGUGUAGCGGUGAAAUGCGUAGAUAUUAGGAGGAACACCAGUGGCGAAGGCGGCCUGCUGGGCUUUAACUGACGCUGAGGCUCGAAAGCGUGGGGAGCAAACAGGAUUAGAUACCCGGGUAGUC